CCGAGAUGACCGUCGUUCUGGAGAUGAAGAGGGUGAAUACCGUGGAGGACAGUGGCUGUGCCUAGACGACAUCGAAUAAGCCAUCGGAUCUUCCAUCAGUGGUUGCUGCUGUUGUUGUGUUUGUUGCUGUUGAAGACUGUGAACUGCCUCCGUUAACACCUUCAUUUGCUGCAUUAGAGCAGUAAUUUAUGCGUCCGUAGUAAUUACUGGAUAUGAAGAGCUGGGCUC
rnacentral:lncRNA from 1 species